ACGCUCGACACCUACGGGAGCAGCAGUGGGGAAUAUUGCACAAUGGGGGAAACCCUGAUGCAGCGACGCCGCGUGGAGGAAGAAGGUCUUCGGAUUGUAAACUCCUGUUGUUGGGGAAAAAGAGGAUGGUACCCAACAAGGAAGUGACGGCUAACUACGUGCCAGCAGGCGGUAAUCUGAGCGGGCUGGCAAGGC
rnacentral:rRNA from 1 species